rnacentral:lncRNA from 1 species
GGUGCCUUAGAAAUAAGAUAUCAAAAGGAGAAUUCAUGGAUAUUUUGAGAUUAAUUAUCUUUAUGUUUACAGGGUGAAAAAGGCUUUCCUGGUGUGCCAGGUCCACCUGGUCAAAGAGGCUUUCCUGGUCCAGAAGGGCCUCCAGGACCACAGGGACCAAAGGGUUCUCCAGGGCUUACAGGCUUAGUUGGACCCAAAGGUAUACGAGUAAGUGUGUUUUAAACAAACAUAUAUAUUAAACGUCUUGCUAAUUUCCACCUUGGUUCAAUAAUUUGUGAAAAUAAAAGCAAAGCAUUAUGUAUAAUUUCAACGUAUGGUUAAAAUUUAUUACAUGGUGUAUGCACAAGCAUUAUUUUUAGACCUUUUGCCCUUUUUGCUACACCUUAUGUACAAGGUUAUUGCUGUAUGUAUUUAAUAUUUGGGUGUGCAGUGAAAAAGUCAGACUAGAAUACCAUGAAGAAUUAUCUGGGGUUUUUUCUGUGGACAAAACUGGUGUGUGUUACCUGUUUGUAACCAUUAUGCUUGGUUUACAAUCAUAAUAGUUAAGGAAGUAACGAUCUUUUUAAUAGAAUCAUACUUGCAUUAGUUCUUAUUAUGAAUGUAAUCAAAGAAAAAUUGCUGAUGAGCUUUUGUUUAAUAUUCAUAAUAUUAUUCUCUGGUUUAAUUUCGUUAGGGAGUCCCAGGAAUACCCGGAUUUUCAGGUCCUCCAGGCCUUCCAGGUGAACCAGGAACUGUUGGUCCUCCUGGGCUCCCGGGUGUUCCAGGAUGCAAUGGCACAAAGGGUGACCAAGGAUUUCCAGGUCCUCCAGGUCAAAGAGGUGCUCCAGGCCUUCCAGGUAUUGCUGGUAUCAAAGGAGAGAAGGUCAGUUAUUUGCAUCAUAUUACACAAAGUAUUUAUUGGUUAUCAACAAUUUGUGUGUGUGUUUGUUGCUCCUAACCUCUCCAUUCAUGGGAAACAGAAGGUUUGCCUUCCAGAGGAAGCAACCACAAAGUUUGGUGCUUCCAUUGUCCUAGCAGCAUUCACCUCAGGUUGCAAAAUGGUCUAUUAUUUCUUUUCCCUCAAACUACUGUUACUGCAUAUAAUGAAUUUAACACUUUCAAGCACACAAAGAAUUAAGCUCCUCUCCCAAACAGUUCAUGAAUUCAUAUGGAAAUCUGCAGAUGCUCUAGACAGUAUUUUAUAG